UACGUAGGGGGCUAGCGUUGUCCGGAAUCAUUGGGCGUAAAGCGCGUGUAGGCGGAAGCGCAAGUCCGGUGUGAAAGCCCCCGGCUCAACCGGGGAAGGUCGCUGGAAACUGCGCUUCUUGAGGGCGGCAGAGGGAAGUGGAAUUGCUGGUGUAGCGGUGAAAUGCGUAGAGAUCAGCAGGAACACCCGUGGCGAAGGCGGCUUCCUGGGCCGCGCCUGACGCUGAGACGCGAAAGCGUGGGGAGCGAACGGG
rnacentral:rRNA from 1 species